rnacentral:rRNA from 1 species
UAGCUCAAGGAUGUUAUAGACGUAUGGCUGCGGAUGUCACUUACUCCAGCCGAGGAAGGAAUGGUCGAUUAUGUUUAUUAGCCGUAGUCGAUUGAACGUAACCCAGCAAGAAGCAGCAACUGGCUAACUUCGUGCCAGCAGCUGCGGUUAUUACGGAGGGGUGCUAUGCGUUAAUCGGAAUUACUGGGCGUAAAGCGCACGCAGGCGGUCUGUCAAGUCGGAUGUGAAAUCCCCGGGCUCAACGUGGGAACCUGCAUUCGAAACUGGCAGGCUAGAGUCUUGUAGAGGGGGGGUAGAAUUCCAGGUGUAGCGGUGAAAUGCGUAGAGAUCUGGAGGAAUACCGGUGGCGAAGGCGGCCCCCUGGACAAAGACUGACGCUCAGGUGCGAAAGCGUGGGAGCAAACAGGAUUAGAUACCCUGGUAGUCCACGCCGUAAACGAUGUCGACUUGGAGGUUGUGCCCUUGAGGCGUGGCUUCCGGAGCUAACGCGUUAAGUCGACCGCCUGGGGAGUACGGCCGCAAGGUUAAAACUCAAAUGAAUUGACGGGGGCCCGCACAAGCGGUGGAGCAUGUGGUUUAAUUCGAUGCAACGCGAAGAACCUUACCUACUCUUGACAUCCAGAGAACUUAGCAGAGAUGCUUUGGUGCCUUCGGGAACUCUGAGACAGGUGCUGCAUGGCUGUCGUCAGCUCGUGUUGUGAAAUGUUGGGUUAAGUCCCGCAACGAGCGCAACCCUUAUCCUUUGUUGCCAGCGGUUCGGCCGGGAACUCAAAGGAGACUGCCAGUGAUAAACUGGAGGAAGGUGGGGAUGACGUCAAGUCAUCAUGGCCCUUACGAGUAGGGCUACACACGUGCUACAAUGGCGCAUACAAAGAGAAGCGACCUCGCGAGAGCAAGCGGACCUCAUAAAGUGCGUCGUAGUCCGGAUUGGAGUCUGCAACUCGACUCCAUGAAGUCGGAAUCGCUAGUAAUCGUAGAUCAGAAUGCU